GAAGCAGUAGCUCAGCGGUAGAGCAUGAAACAGCGCUGGAAUUAUCCAUCAGGGUCAACCAGCGCUUACUUCUGGGAUUUUAGGGUCGUUGGUUCGAAUCCAACCUGCUUCA
rnacentral:tRNA from 1 species